rnacentral:rRNA from 1 species
AACGUAGGUUCCGAGCGUUAUCCGGAUUUACUGGGCGUAAAGCGCGUUCAGGCGGUUUGGCAAGUCGGGCAUGAAAUCUCUCGGCUCAACCGGGAGAGGUUGUCCGAUACUUCCAGACUUGAGGGCAGUAGAGGGUGGUGGAAUUCCGGGUGUAGUGGUGAAAUGCGUAGAUAUCCGGAGGAACACCAGUGGCGAAAGCGGCCACCUGGACUGCACCUGACGCUGACACGCGAAAGCGUGGGGAGCAAACAGG